AUUGGCUGUGUCCCCAUUUCAUUGAGUAUACUCAUUUUUUGUUUAUUUCAUACUGUAUUAUAAUUUGUGAUUUAUAGGCAGGUAGAGUAAACCUCAAAUGUGACCUUCUUGAAGAACUGUCUUAUUUGUAGUGAGUACUUAAUAGUUACUUACUAAUAUAUAAAAUAAUGAAAAUUCUGCUCUUGAGGAUAUGCGUGAAAUGUACUACAGUGUUAUAAGCACUUUCAAAAGGAGAGUUAGAAAAUUUAUAGUAUAAAUAUUGAUGUAAUUAACAUAUAGAAAGAAGAUCGUGCCUAAUUUCUUUAUGUAAAAAUGUAGAUUAACUAUU
rnacentral:lncRNA from 1 species